AUUGAACGCUGGCGGCAGGCCUAACACAUGCAAGUCGAACGAGUGGCGGACGGGUGAGUAAUGUCUGGGAAACUGCCUGAUGGAGGGGGAUAACUACUGGAAACGGUAGCUAAGACCGCAUACCAUCAGAUGUGCCCAGAUGGGACUUGCUAGGUGGUGGGGUAACGGCUCACCAAGGCGACGAGCGCUAGCUGGUCUGAGAGGAUGAACAGACACACUGGAGCUUAGACGCGGUGCAGAGUCCUAGGGGAGGGAGCAGUGGGGAAUAGUGCACAGUGGGCGCAAGCCUGAUGCAGCCCUGCCGCGUGUAUGAAGAAGGCCUUGGGAUUGUAAAGUACUUUCAGCGGGGAGGCGUUGCCCGCAGAGGAAGCACCGGCUAACUCCGGACCAGCAGCCGCGGUAAUAC
rnacentral:rRNA from 1 species